rnacentral:tRNA from 1 species
GUCCGUGUUGCCUAAUCCGGUAUGGCAGAUGUCUGAAAAACAUCGUCUCGGGAGAGACUUCCGGGUUCAAAUCCCGGCACGGACU